rnacentral:sRNA from 1 species
GACUGAGAACAGGUUGAUGUGAAAGAUACUGUUUUCAAGAUAGGUUUUCAAUUAGUUACUAUGGUGAGGAGCAUAAUGAGCCCAGUGUGACCAGCAUAGGACCCUAAAUAUCAAGAACAAACUGGACACCUUAGGAUAGGAGCUCAUAGCCAUAGCCUGAGGCAAAAGCUGAUACAUAGAAUAAAGUGCUGUUGUGGAAAGUAUAACAAGUGGUUAAAAGGCUCAGCUUACAGGUUCAAAAGGUAUCCAUUUUCUUGAUUUCUUGUAACUUUUUUUGUCAGUGCUGGGAAGAUUGAACUCAAGGCCCAUCACAUGUGAGACAAGUGCUGUACCGUGGAUGCCUAACCUUUGCUCUGAACUAGUCUUUCAAAAGAAGCCACUGGACCUCAUGGUUUUGUUCACAGUAACUGCAUUUAUUGGAUUAUUAUAAUAAAAUGUAUUAGCUGUUGGAAAUUAGAGUCACGAUAGAGAUAAUACAUAUGAAAUUACAUGGUUUUUUAGAGGAAAAGAAUUAUCAGCAAGGAUACUCUUUUUUUUUUAAUUCCAGGAGGGAAAAUAAGCUCUGAAGUGGAAUAUUUGGCUAGCAAGGCUCACAGAACAUCUUGCAUGUUUUAAAGCGUUCUAAGGCUGCUUCACACCCCGGCCCACGCACCCAGCUGCACUCAAAGAGCUCUUCCUCCCUUCCUCACCACCCAACAGUCUCUACCAACCUGCAUCUGCUGGCUGAGACCAGAGGGACCUCAGUUUGCCCCUUCAAGCCUUGAGGCCAGGUGAUACAAUACCUCAUCCUAGAGAAGCAAUAUAAAUAAUUUUGGAAGGUUGAAGAAAUGACUCAUUUGCUUGUGACCAAAGCGUGAAGACUUGAAUUCUACCCCCAAUACUCAUCUACAUGCCCUGAAGCAGCAGGGGUCUGUAACCACCAAAGACCAAGCAGAUGUCCUUGGUCUGGGUUGCUGCCCAGAGACAUGUUAAUGUCUAAGGGCUGUCUACCCCAUGCGUGGUUGUGGUAUUUGUGGUAAGCAUGGGAGAGCUGGUUCUGUAACGUGCCUCCACCUCUUGUCCCUUGCAACCUAACUGAAAGCACAAGAGCUGAUCCUGAAGUCAUCAGUGGAAGAGCUUGCCCUGCUACAGCACUCAGGAGAGCGGGCCCUGCACCUCACUGGAGUAGCAUGGUAGAGCUGGCCCUAGUUAUAGGGAUUGCAAGUGAGCCAGCCCAAAGGCCAUAAGCACAGGAGAGUUGGCUGACUCUUGUCUGCUGUGCUAUAACACAGAUGAGGAAGAAAAGCCCUCCUUCCCUCUCUUGUCCCUCACCAUCUAUGGCAAGCAAGAGAGCCGGUCUACCGAGGACAUGAGAGUGGGAGAGCUGGCCCUGUACCUCACCAGGGUAGCAGGAUAGAGCUGGCUGUGAAGGUGUGGGUGAGGAUGAGCCAGCCCUGAUGGUAUGAGAACCAGAGAGUUGA